rnacentral:rRNA from 1 species
CCUACGGGAGGCAGCAGUGAGGAAUAUUGGUCAAUGGGCGAGAGCCUGAACCAGCCAAGUCGCGUGAGGGAGUACUGCCCUAUGGGUUGUAAACCUCUUUUGUCGGGGAGCAAAAGCCGGACGUGUCCGGCUGUGAGAGUACCCGAAGAAAAAGCAACGGCAUACUCCGUGACAGCAGCGGCGGUAAUAGGGAGGAUGAGAGGGUUAUCAGGUUUUAUGGGGUUUAAAGGGUGCGCAGGCGGAUUUUUAAGUCAGCGGUAAAAGCGUGGGGCUCACCCCCAGCCAGCCGUUGAAACUGGGGAUCUUGAGUGUGCGAGAGGUAUGCGGAAUGCGUGGUGUAGCGGUGAAAUGCAUAGAUAUCACGCAGAACCCCGGUUGCGAAGGCAGCAUACCGGUGCACAACUGACGCUCAGGCGCGAAAGCGUGGGUAUCGAACAGGAUUAGAUACCCUAGUAGUC